GGAGUGCAGCUGGGCUCCUCCCGCUGCUCCUGGGCAAUGCUCCUGGGUAGACCUUGUACAAGAUGCCAUCUCGGGCGCUGUGUAUUUUUCCUCAUUGUGGCUCUUUUGGUCGACGCUGUGGGCCUGGUCCUUUUGCUGCUGGGAAUCUUUGCUCCACUAAACUACUGGGACUUCUUUGUCUACACGGGAGCUCUGAUCCUAGCCCUGAGCCUACUGUUCUGGCUUGCCUGGUAUUCCUUCAAUAUCGAGGUCCCUCUUGAAAAGCUGGACUUUUAGGGGAGCCAUGGACAAGAGAGAAACAGGUGGCAUAUGCAGCUGUGAACCUGAGACCCUGGACAUGAAGCCCCCACACAGAACGCCCCACUAAGACCAG
rnacentral:lncRNA from 1 species